rnacentral:rRNA from 1 species
UACGUAGGGUGCAAGCGUUAAUCGGAAUUACUGGGCGUAAAGCGUGCGCAGGCGGUGAUGUAAGACAGAUGUGAAAUCCCCGGGCUCAACCUGGGAACUGCAUUUGUGACUGCGAUCGCUAGAGUACGGCAGAGGGGGAUGGAAUUCCGCGUGUAGCAGUGAAAUGCGUAGAUAUGCGGAGGAACACCGAUGGCGAAGGCAAUCCCCUGGGCCUGUACUGACGCUCGAUGCACGAAAGCGUGGGGAGCAAACAGG